rnacentral:misc_RNA from 1 species
CGCACAUUGCACUCCUUGGUAUUCCGGGGAGUAUGUCUGUUCGAGCGUCAUUUCACCCUUCAAGAAUUGAUUGAUAUUAUAUUGAUUAUUCUUGGUAUUGGAUUUGUCAAUGACAUUUCUGAAAACGAGUGGCAGUGCGAGUAAGACAAAGCAUAUUGAAAACCACGUUAAAUCUGCUCAAACUGCUAAAAUCUAUAAUUAUUUUUUUGACCUCGGAUCAGACAAGGAUACCCGCUGAACUUAA